rnacentral:tRNA from 3 species
GCGCCAGUAGCUCAGCCGGAUAGAGCGUCGGUCUACGAAACCGAAGGUCACAGGUUCGAAUCCUGUCUGGCGCG